rnacentral:lncRNA from 1 species
UGGUGACAGGCAGAGGGAGUGAUGGAGGCAGAUGCAGUGAGACCAGUUCUAGGGGCUGUAUCAUCUUCCCUAUUCAUCACUUCAUAAGAGAAAAAGGAAGCAAAAUCAAAAUAAAACAUCUCUGCCUUCACUCAUCUUUCCAUUAUCAUCUUUCCAUCUACUCCAAGUACAGGAUCUACCUUUUCUUUUGUGCUACAUUAAAAAAAAAACUUUAAAAAAGAAGAAAAAGCCUUAUAUGUAUCUGUCCUUGGUUUUUCCCAUCAUCUUCAUCUCAUUCUGAAUUGCAGUUCUUCAAACAACCUUUUUGUAGGACUAGGAGUUAGUACAGCCUUUGAAUACAGAAGUAACAGGAUCGUCUCUAGGAAGAGGUAUGAUUGAAAGAAUUAAUGAAUAAAUGAACAGAUGUAAAA